AUGACAAAUGUCAGUAGCGGAGGACAAGAUAUGGGUGUUGUUCCCAGAUAUGAAGGGGAGAUGACACCAACACAGAGAAAUAGUUGCAACAUGGCAGAGAAGCCCUGCUCCUUGUGUUCAUUCAAGACUCAAGUUCUCUCAAAGUCCUUUUUUCUGACAAUGCCAAGGGCACUGUCAUCACCUGCAAGGUCUAUGCUGGAUUCCACUUUGCGGGGAUGGAUUUCCACCUUGCUGUUGGCAAGGGGAGUAAGCAAGCUCAAGCUCAAGACCUCACAGAUCACUUCUCUUCAAUUCCAUCAGCGAGAACUUGUGUAUGAGUGAGUAUUACAGCCACUCUUACUCUUUAUUGACUACAUGGUACCCCCCAGCCUCCUAAGAAGUGGAAAAACAAGGAAUAAUCCUCCUCAAGUCAGGUGGAGUGUGAAGAAACCUGAUCAUUCUAAGCAUUCACCAACAUCAUCAUACAAAUGGUAAUUGUGUAGCUACUGCGUGUGAUGCAUUGCUGCAUGGUGUGUAAUUUCUAGGGCUCUACAGUUGUUCAACCACAUCCCCAGAGACUGACAUGAAGAGUAUACACCCUACAGUAUAAGGACACAGACAGACAGACAGAAAGAAAGAGAAAGAAAG
rnacentral:lncRNA from 1 species